AGUGAACGCUGGCGGUAGGCCUAACACAUGCAAGUCGAACGGCAGCACAGUAAGAGCUUGCUCUUACGGGUGGCGAGUGGCGGACGGGUGAGGAAUACAUCGGAAUCUACUUUUUCGUGGGGGAUAACGUAGGGAAACUUACGCUAAUACCGCAUACGACCUACGGGUGAAAGCAGGGGAUCUUCGGACCUUGCGCGAUUGAAUGAGCCGAUGUCGGAUUAGCUAGUUGGCGGGGUAAAGGCCCACCAAGGCGACGAUCCGUAGCUGGUCUGAGAGGAUGAUCAGCCACACUGGAACUGAGACACGGUCCAGACUCCUACGGGAGGCAGCAGUGGGGAAUAUUGGACAAUGGGCGCAAGCCUGGUCCAGCCAUACCGCGUGGGUGAAGGAGGCCUUCGGGUUGUAAAGCCCUUUUGUUGGGAAAGAAAAGCAGCAGGUUAAUACCCCGCUGUUCUGACGGUACCCAAAGAAUAAGCACCGGCUAACUUCGUG
rnacentral:rRNA from 1 species